rnacentral:rRNA from 1 species
CCCUUAGAUGUUCUGGGCCGCACGCGCGUUACACUGAUGCAUUCAACGAGUCCUUCCUUGGCCGAGAGGCCUGGGCAAUCUUUUGAACGUGCAUCGUGAUAGGGAUAGAUUAUUGCAAUUAUUAAUCUUGAACGAGGAAUUCCUAGUAAACGCAGUUCAUCAAACUGCAUUGAUUACGUCCCUGCCCUUUGUACACACCGCCCGUCGUACCUACCGAUUGAAUGGUCCGGUGAAGCCUCGGGAUUGUGGCUGGUCUCCUUUAUUGGGGGUCGGUCGCGAGAACUUGUCUAAACCUUAUCAUUUAGAGGAAGGUGAAGUCGUAACA